rnacentral:lncRNA from 1 species
GGAUUUUGAAAUGCCGAGCAGAGUGAUGUGAUCUGCCUGCAUCCCUUAGUGGAAUGCCCUGGGCAAGAAACCGUUGAUAAAACUUGGUGGCAGAGCAUUUAUUUCAUUGUUUUAUCAGUAAAGGAGCACACAGAGAGGACCCUGGCUUUGAGGGUCCUGGUAAAUCAGGCUGUUGGGGACAAUUCUGUUGAGUACAAGGAGGAUGGAGAAGAUCAAUGGCAAGCUCAGUGGUCACAGCCAACCCCACGGAACAGAGAGGCUGCGAACUGCAUAGACAAGGAAUUCCUUCUAUAUAUGAGUCCCAAAGAGAAAGCAAGCUCCUCCUGUCAUAUCUUGGCAACUAACUGAAGUAACGAAAGGGAAAGAAAUGAUAAAAAUAAAUCAUUCCAGUUGGCAGAGCAUCACUGUAUAGUUCUCAAAGUGGUGGUUCAUCACAAAUGAGAUUAGCCCUGAGCUAACAUCCGUGCCCGUCUUCCUCUACUUUAUAUGUGGGAUGACUGCCACAGCAUGACUUGACAAGUGGUGCCAUGUCCA